UGGGGAAUUUUGGACAAUGGGCGAAAGCCUGAUCCAGCAAUGCCGCGUGUGUGAAGAAGGCCUUCGGGUUGUAAAGCACUUUUGUCCGGAAAGAAAUCCUUGGCUCUAAUACAGUCGGGGGAUGACGGUACCGGAAGAAUAAGCACCGGCUAACUACGUGCCAGCAGCCGCGGUAAUACGUAGGGUGCAAGCGUUAAUCGGAAGUUACUGGGCGUAAAGCGUGCGCAGGCGGUUUGCUAAGACCGAUGUGAAAUCCCCGGGCUCAACCUGGGAACUGCAUUGGUGACUGGCAGGCUAGAGUAUGGCAGAGGGGGGUAGAAUUCCACGUGUAGCAGUGAAAUGCGUAGAGAUGUGGAGGAAUACCGAUGGCGAAGGCAGCCCCCUGGGCCAAUACUGACGCUCAUGCACGAAAGCGUGGGGAGCAAACAGGAUUAGAUACCCUGGUAGUCCACGCCCUAAACGAUGUCAACUAGUUGUUGGGGAUUCAUUUCCUAGUAACGUAGCUAACGCGUGAAGUUGACCGCCUGGGGAGUACGGUCGCAAGAUUAAAACUCAAAGGAAUUGACGGGGUCAUAGCUGUUUCCU
rnacentral:rRNA from 1 species